GGGCCUGUAAGCUAAUGGAUACUUUGUCCAAGAUUUGGACACAGCUGAAAAGACUGUCCGGCUUCGGACCGGAAAAUCGGGGUUCGAAUCCCUGCAGGCCCG
rnacentral:tRNA from 1 species